GUACUUGCUUCAGUAGUGCAUAUACUAAAAUUGGAACGAUAGAGAGAAGAUUAACAUGGCCCCUGCGCAAGAAAGAUAUGCAGAAUUGUGAAGCGUUCAAAGGGUGU